CACGAUUUCUGAGAACUGCUGUGGUGG
rnacentral:piRNA from 1 species